AUCCCGCUUUUACAAUGUAAAGGGUGGUCCUGAGGUCGCCAUUUUGUGUGAUGGCGAAAACUUGCAUAGUGGUUGUGGACUUUCAGUUAACUGGAAGCGUGGGAUUUGUUUGCAUGCAUGUCGACCUGUGUGAAACGUACAGUAUAGCACACCCAAGCAGGGCAACAUAAUCUGACUGGGUCGGUAUUGUCGGAAAUAUCAAAGUCCAAGUUGGGGCCCUCAAGCCAUCCACACAUGUUGGGUUGUCUUUAGAAAACUGUCUGGUUUUUUUGCGUCAUAUUCAAGGCGUUUGUCUAGUUCCAAUAAGGCAUUACGUUUGACACACUUAAAACUGAGCAAGUAAAGGUAAACUUUAUUUACAAAUAGAGUCGUAACACUGCGAUAAAAACGUGUUUCGCACGACUAUAUUACUGUCUUUUUUUUUAUAUCGAUUCUUGUAUCAAAUGAAAAUGGAGGAGGGGGAAGUCUCGGGUAAAGCAACUCGCUAAAAUGUUGUUGGUAAAAUGGAGGCGUUUCCUUGCUGAGGUCUGCGUUCAUUACCAUGGCAUUUACUGGCUUGGUAGUGGCUGUUUGUUGCGGGGUUUCCCAAGUAGUGCUUGCAGGGGCUCUUACAUCUUGCGCAAACGCGUAUCCGCUCAUAAAAGGCGACUGAGUACUCCCACCUUGUUUCCAUGGAAGGAGAACUGAGUGACUGGAGGAGAAGCCGAGAUACUUCACUUAGAAAUUCGCGUGUGUUUCGUACUUUUUCUUUUUUGUCAAAACAAUACUACAGCCAUGCCGCUUUAGAGUCUUUAAGAAACCGAUGGUGAAUGGACAAUGACGCUCUUAAGUAAAAACAGACAAAGAAAAGUAACGUCUACAAACAUGGUUCAAUGUCUGCAGUCACCGGGCACAUCCCAGCCUGCAGGAAUUUUAAGGCACAUAGAAUAUACAUAUUUUCAUUUGAACUGUACAACAUAUAACAAUAAACAGUUUUUAAUUAAA